UACGUAGGUUCCAAGCGUUAUCCGGAAUUAUUGGGCGUAAAGAGUGAGCAGGCGGUUUUCUAAGUCUGAAGUCAAAUCCGGUGGCUUAACCAUCGUUCGCUUUGGAAACUGGAAGACUAGAGUUCGGGAGAGGUAAAUGGAACUCCAUGUGUAGCGGUAAAAUGCGUAGAUAUAUGGAAGAACACCAGUGGCGAAGGCGAUUUACUAGACCGAUACUGACGCUCAGUCACGAAAGCGUGGGUAGC
rnacentral:rRNA from 1 species